GUGAUCUUACCUUGAGCACGUUAAGGUCCAGGAGAGAGGCUCGGCUCCCACAGGAGAGGACCGGGAGAGGACUCGGAUCCGCCGCUGGGUGCUGCGCACUGUGCCUGGUACAUAAAUAAGAAGAAUACUUUCAAUCAAUGACUUUGUUGCCACCUUCACCUGCCCAGAGGAGAGGAGGACUUCCUGAGUGCAAACAUAUUUUGUGGGGCCUUUGUUGAAAAAAAAAAAAAAACAAUGGAAAGAAUGGAAUACUUGGAAAACACAUAUUUUAAACGGUUGGACAAAGAUAGCUGGUGCAUUUUUUUCUUCCUGCCAAGCCGUUUCCAUUUAGGAUUCAACAAAACCACAGUUCGACAUUGGAUUUAGAACCAAAUUUUCAAAGAAACACAUUGCCGGGGAACAUGCGCGGGAUUCCCACUGAUAAUCGCAUAAAACACGAAAGGAUGGAAUCUGACUGCCCAGUAUGGUUUCUCCUUCUGGCAUAUCAGGCUUAACGGACCUGAGCAGAACGUAGGGAAGUGAAUGUGCUGUGCGGUAUCAUCUUCUCUGUGGCCCCAUGUGCAGUAUCAAUGAAUCUGGACUAACAUGUGGUGCAUUCUUCAGGCCAGAUGCAGUGUUUAGAGGAACUUUCGUCAAAGAUGAAAAACGUGACCUAAUUUUGGUAAACAGCAAGAUGGAGGCUGUGUUUUGGGUGCUUCUCUCUCUGAAGACUCUCCAUGGCUUAGUUCCUGGCUUGUCGCUUUUGUCCUGGGGGCUUCAGGUUCCCUAUGCAACGAAAACACAGAGCAGAUGUUAUGAGACUGAGCCAACGGUGGCCCAUAGCAUGAGCGCCUGACUGAUGGGUUCAAAAGCUUUCUUCUAGCAAUUCAAGAGUGCCAAGAAUGAGUAAGCCAAGAAGGAGAGUUAUGACUGUUUGCAAACCCAUAAGGAGUGGUUCUCAGUCUGCACUUGACAAGUCUGAGGGUUUAGAAGACCGUUUGUGGUACAGCUGAAUCCCCAGUGUGCUGUGUUCCCAGGGAAGAAAACCAAUAACAACAGAUCCACAACUCAUGCCAUUUGCUAAAUGGGCUUCCUCGCAAGUGGGGCUCUGGGAGGAAUCUCACAAUUUCCUGCCGCUUUGUCUCUGAAGGGUACACACCCCGAGUGCAAUGCUGGCUAUAGAGUCUCCAUAGGAUCUGAUGUCUGUAAGAGAAGAGAAACCACCACGACUUUCCAGAGCAUUCCUUUGCUGAAUGGUGUGCUACCACCCUCCCACUGAAGGUCGCUUAGAUUGUCUCCAGCUUUCCACCACUCCAAAUAAAGUGGCAGAGAGUAUCCAGGAGGACUUGUCAAUUUGUCUCAUGCUUUGAGGAUAUUUUUCUUGGCUCUUCAUCAUGAGAACGCACUGGGGCUCCUGGAGGUACAGCCUGCAAACCUGUGUCCUUCCUCCUCACCCAAGACGCCAGCCCUCAAGGUUUCUCACUCUCGUGCCGGUCCAUGCUCCGCCUCGAGCAAUUCAUCAAAAUUACCACGUAUUAAAAUUACUUGACAGUUCCAAUAUCCAGCUAAACUCCUAUUGGACUGAAGCAAGCAACAGUUCUGAAUGCUUUUUGUCCUGAAGAACUUGGCUUGAGAUAAUUAUUGGCUGAGCUUGAAGUUGAGUAACUGGAACAUGAAAGUAGGGCUGCUCAGAAGAGGGCCAGCGAGCCCCGCCUGCUGCCUUAGACAAUGUGUGUCCUCAUCAGAGUCCUACUCAAGAAUUCAUGUCAUCAAAAAUGCUGCCAUAUCUGGCUGUGGGACCUAGGUCUGUGCAGCCGUCUUGCCACUUUGAGGAAGCCGGCCUGAAGAUAUGUCCACAUAAUGACGAUGGCAGAGCAGAAUAAAGGCAGGACAUGGAGAAGCUGUGUUGACCAAUCUUCAGGUUAUCCUGCCUCAAGCCUCUUUUUAUAAUUCCAGUGAGCUGACUUUCAGAGUUCUCGCGCUGGCAGUGUCCCCAGGGCUUGCAUUAGGUGCGUGCACUUUCUUCUGCUCCAGCUGCAAAGAUACUCCAAAGCAAGACUCCACCACAGUUGUGUGCUGCCGGUGGACAGCAGAUGACUCGCCAGGCUGCCCUCUGGGUCUCCAGCGUUCACAGACACAGAAGCACAUCUGUUUACCACCCUAUGCCCAGUGCCUGGUCCAUGGUCAGGCCUUCAUUUUUAAGCCUCCAGGGAGAAACAGCAUAUGGAGGAGGAAGUCUCAAGAGAUGAAAAUUCAUCUGCCCUGUGGCCUUAAAAGGGAGAAAUGGAGGAGUCAAUGUCAAAGGUUAAUCAGCGUCCACCAGUUGAUCCAGCCAUUCACCUCUCAAGGUUUCUGAGCUGCUCUCUGGAUACUGCAGGAAUCCAGACCAUUGCUCAGGUGUCUGCAGAAAAGGGGCAAACAGUCACUGUUACAAGGCAACAGUGGGGAAAAGAUGAAAGAAACUAUCAACUACUUCUCAGUAACACAGACUCCUACACUUACAAGAGCUGCCUUUUACCUCACACGACCGCAGCUUCCUCCACAUUAUUCAAAGCAGCCCUCAUCCCCCCUAGAUUGUCUCACAUUUUUAAGUUGAGUCCAAGUUUCCCUCUACAAUUUCUUCAGUGUUGAUUUGGGAGAAGGGAAUUUACAAGCUCAUGAUGAUUACUAUAUUGAUAGGAACCGGAAGUUCCUACCAAUAAGGGGAAAAAUAAAAACACUAUAAAUAUCCAUGAAUAAGGCAAUGGUUAUAUUAAUUGUGAUGUAUUUAUAUCAUAGAAUACUCUGCAUCUGUUUAAAAAAAAUGAGGUGGAUUUAAAUGCACUGAUAGAGGAAGAGGACCAUAACAUUGUAAUAGAAAUGAAGCAGGAAAAUACAUAUACCGUGAUGUCAUUUUGUAACAUCUUUACGAAUAUGUAUUUGUAUAUAAGCAUAAGAAAAGUCUCAAUGGAUAUACACUUAGUAAAAAUUGUCAGAGUUGGGUAAACGAAUCAGAAGAGACUUUCACUUUUUGCUUUACACAUAUUUAAAUUAUUUGGAUGCUUUCUAAGUAUUUAUUAUGUGCCACAAUGAAUCCUUAAAAAAAUGGAGAGGAUAGAUUCUUAUAACCAUACUGGAUGGAAGGUCCCCUUACAGGAUGCUACUUCAUUCUUCCUAAGUGUCCCACACAUUGUACACAUCUCUUUUCUGUCCCUUUUCCACAAAAGCAAAAAAUUCCCUUGCACUCUAUCCUGGGAAAUUGUCAGUUGUUGAUAAUUGUUGGUUGUUUAUUGAGUAAAUAACAUUAAUAAAUGAAUGAAUGCAUGAAAUAAAACUGGAGAAGCUAUAUCAAAUAAAAUUACAGUUUUCUUCUUUGAUUGCUUAUUUAUAUAGUUAUUCCAAAUUGAAGGUCAAUCUAACUCACAAUUUUUACCUCCUUAAUAGGAUGGAAACACCAUGCUUACCUUCAUUUAUUCACCAUUAUGGACAUAUCCCUCAGGAUACAGCCAGUUUCUCCUCUCUUCUCACAACUUCCUCAGAAAAAAGUUGGAAGUCCAUAAAAUUAGACUCUUGCAUUUCAUAGAGGUAUCUCGCUUUUGUAAACGGUGUAGUUCUCUGAAUUCCAGAAGGCCUGUAUUCACAGCUAUUUAUAGAAAAAGAGUUGCUUGCAAAAAUAAAAGCAGAAUGAUUUUUUUCAAAAACAUAAAUUUGGAAAUGUAACAACCAGUUGUCCAAGUAUCUAUUGAAAGGAGGUCUGUUAGUUCUCUAACAGUUUUAAUGCAGGUGGUAUCAUUUGAAGUUAAUAAAAUUGUUGGAGCUGGUA